GUGAUCUGUCUGCUUAAUUGCGUUUCAUAUUAUUAUAUAAUAUACACACAUCACGUGUGUUAUAUUAUUACUUUGAAAGCAACGAACGUGACCGUAGCCUUUUAUUAUAUACGCUACACGUAUAUUAAUUAAAGGGACCGCUGUAUCUUUCUUUAAACCAGAGUAAGGUUACGGCAAUAACAGGUCCGUGAUGCCCUUCGAUGUUCCGGGCUGCACACGUGCUACAAUGAUUAUUUCAUUAAGUAUCUACUGUGCAAUAAUAUUAUUAUUAUUCAAAACCUACUCUGAGAAUGAGCGGGUAAUCAAUUAGAAGUAAUGAUUUCCAAAUUUAUACACUUAUGUACCGUAUAUAUUAUCCCAUUACACAUUAUGUGUUAUGCGUGUAUAAUAUUGUACGCUGUACGUAUAUUUAUUAAUUCAUGGUGGGGAUAGACUAUUGUUAAUUGUUGGUCUCGGUCUUAACUAGGAAUGCCUUGUACGGGUCAUUGGUUCAACAGACCACCCGGAAUACGUCCCUGCCCUUUGUACACACCGCCCGUCGCUCUUACCGAUGAACUUCGCUAUGAAUCUAUUGGACUGUACCAUUGUGGUAUGGAAAGAUAUAUGAAUAGUGUGGUUUAAAGGAAAGAGAAGUCGAACAAGGCA
rnacentral:rRNA from 1 species